rnacentral:rRNA from 1 species
AUGAACGCUGGCGGCGUGCCUAAUACAUGUAAGUCGAGCGAACGGACGAGAAGCUUGCUUUUCUGAUGUUAGCGGCGGACGGGUGAGUAACACGUGGAUAACCUACCUAUAAGACUGGGAUAACUUCGGGAAACCGGAGCUAAUACCGGAUAAUAUUUUGAACCGCAUGGUUCAAAAGUGAAAGACGGUCUUGCUGUCACUUAUAGAUGGAUCCGCGCUGCAUUAGCUAGUUGGUAAGGUAACGGCUUACCAAGGCAACGAUGCAUAGCCGACCUGAGAGGGUGAUCGGCCACACUGGAACUGAGACACGGUCCAGACUCCUACGGGAGGCAGCAGUAGGGAAUCUUCCGCAAUGGGCGAAAGCCUGACGGAGCAACGCCGCGUGAGUGAUGAAGGUCUUCGGAUCGUAAAACUCUGUUAUUAGGGAAGAACAUAUGUGUAAGUAACUGUGCACAUCUUGACGGUACCUAAUCAGAAAGCCACGGCUAACUACGUG